UGCACUGUUUUUGUUAGUUCUUUAACAAACAUUUGUUGGGAGAAGAAGGUAUACAAAAAGAAGUGCUAACCACCAAACUAGAACAUUUACUGUUAGUGGUUUGAAAUGUAACGAACAUUCAUGUAACUACACUGAAAAGUAUCUUCUGGAUAUUUUAGUAAGAAAUUUUGCAUGGCAAACUGCCUUACAACCUUGAUGACUUGAUGUGGGAGUCCUUCAUCAUCAUUCCAAAAAUUUCUAUAAGCAUGGUAAAUAUGAAGAACAUCACCUUAGGGAGACAAGACACAGGCUCGAAGACCAUCAAUAUGUACCAAUUUGUUUGAUCUUCACAAAAAUCUCAUGAAAUAGUUAUCAUUCCUGUUUCCAGAAACGAGGCCCAGAGAGACUGACGUCAUUCAGCAAAAUGCACAAGGACUCAAGCCCAGAAAACCGAUUCCAGAGACUUGAUCAUUAACUCCUUAUAUUCAUAUAUACCUUACAAUCUACAGAGCCCUCUAGAAGAUACAGAAAUAUUAUCUGAUCCUCUCAACAAUGCUUAGAAGUAAGUCAGGAACAUCUUUGUCUCCACAGUACACAUAGGGAAACUGAGGCUCGGAGAUAUUAAAUUACUGGUACAGAAAAUCAGUAACACUAGUGCCAGCCAAGUCAGGGGCUGAAAUCUACAACUCCUCACUCCUAAAAUGCUGCACCACCUCUGACUUCUGCUUUAGCAGCCUUGUUGGUGAGGAUUAAAUUACAUUUACACAAUCAGA